UGACUUAGUGUAUCAAGCAAGCUUAAGCCGUUAGGUGUAGGCGCAGCGAAAGCGAGUCUGAAUAGGGCGACCAUAGUUUGAUGCAUUAGACCCGAAACCCGGCGAUCUAUGCAUGACCAGGUUGAAGGUGCGGUAACACGCACUGGAGGACCGAACCGUUCAAUGUUGAAAAAUUGUCGGAUGAGUUGUGCUUAGGGGUGAAAGGCCAAUCAAGCCGGGAAAUAGCUGGUUCUCCGCGAAAUCUAUUGAGGUAGAGCGUCGGAUGAUUGCCGUUGGGGGUAGAGCACUGGAUGGUUGCGGGCU
rnacentral:rRNA from 1 species